rnacentral:rRNA from 1 species
AUUGAACGCUGGCGGCAGGCCUAACACAUGCAAGUCGAGCGGAUGAAGGGAGCUUGCUCCUGGAUUCAGCGGCGGACGGGUGAGUAAUGCCUAGGAAUCUGCCUGGUAGUGGGGGAUAACGUCCGGAAACGGGCGCUAAUACCGCAUACGUCCUGAGGGAGAAAGUGGGGGAUCUUCGGACCUCACGCUAUCAGAUGAGCCUAGGUCGGAUUAGCUAGUUGGUGGGGUAAAGGCCUACCAAGGCGACGAUCCGUAACUGGUCUGAGAGGAUGAUCAGUCACACUGGAACUGAGACACGGUCCAGACGCCUACGGGAGGCAGCAGUGGGGAAUAUUGGACAAUGGGCAAAGCCUGAUCCAGCCAUGCCGCGUGUGUGAAGAAGGUCUUCGGAUUGUAAAGCACUUUAAGUUGGGAGGAAGGGCAGUAAGUUAAUACCUUGCUGUUUUGACGUUACCAACAGAAUAAGCACCGGCUAACUUCGUG